UACGUAGGGAGCAAGCGUUGUCCGGAAUCAUUGGGCGUAAAGCGCGCGUAGGUGGCCUCAUAAGUCCGCUGUGAAAGUCCGGGGCUCAACCCCGGGAGGCGGGCGGAUACUGUCGGGCUAGAGUCCGGAAGAGGCGAGUGGAAUUCCUGGUGUAGCGGUGAAAUGCGCAGAUAUCAGGAGGAACACCAAUGGCGAAGGCAGCUCGCUGGGACGUGACUGACGCUGAGACGCGAAAGCGUGGGGAGCAAACAGG
rnacentral:rRNA from 1 species